rnacentral:rRNA from 1 species
GAUGAACGCUAGCGGCAGGCUUAACACAUGCAAGUCGCGGGGCAGCGGGGGAUGAGCUUGCUCAUCCCGCCGGCGACCGGCGCACGGGUGAGUAACACGUAUGCAACCUGCCCCUGUCAGGGGGACAACCCACCGAAAGGUGGGCUAAACCCGCGUACAUCCGGAGGGGGCAUCCCCUUGGGAGGAAAGGAGCGAUCCGGACAGGGAUGGGCAUGCGUGACAUUAGCUUGUUGGCGGGGUAACGGCCCACCAAGGCGACGAUGUCUAGGGGUUCUGAGAGGAAGGUCCCCCACACUGGUACUGAGACACGGACCAGACUCCUACGGGAGGCAGCAGUGAGGAAUAUUGGUCAAUGGGCGAGAGCCUGAACCAGCCAAGUCGCGUGAAGGAUGACGGCCCUACGGGUUGUAAACUUCUUUUGUCAGGGAGCAAUUGGGUCCACGCGUGGGCUUAGCGAGAGUACCUGAAGAAAAAGCAUCGGCUAACUCCGUGCCAGCAGCCGCGGUAAUACGGAGGAUGCGAGCGUUAUCCGGAUUUAUUGGGUUUAAAGGGUGCGUAGGCGGAAUAUCAAGUCAGCGGUAAAAAUUCGGGGCUCAACCCCGUCGUGCCGUUGAAACUGAUGUUCUUGAGUGGGCGAGAAGUAUGCGGAAUGCGUGGUGUAGCGGUGAAAUGCAUAGAUAUCACGCAGAACUCCGAUUGCGAAGGCAGCAUACCGGCGCCCAACUGACGCUGAAGCACGAAAGCGUGGGUAUCGAACAGGAUUAGAUACCCUGGUAGUCCACGCAGUAAACGAUGAAUGCUAAUUGUCCGGAGGGAUUGACCUCUGGGUGAUACAGCGAAAGCGUUAAGCAUUCCACCUGGGGAGUACGCCGGCAACGGUGAAACUCAAAGGAAUUGACGGGGGCCCGCACAAGCGGAGGAACAUGUGGUUUAAUUCGAUGAUACGCGAGGAACCUUACCCGGGCUCAAACGCAGGAUGACGGGUCCCGAAAGGGGCCUUUCUUCGGACAUUCUGCGAGGUGCUGCAUGGUUGUCGUCAGCUCGUGCCGUGAGGUGUCGGCUUAAGUGCCAUAACGAGCGCAACCCCUGUCCACAGUUGCCAGCAGGUAAAGCUGGGGACUCUGUGGAGACUGCCGGCGCAAGCUGCGAGGAAGGCGGGGAUGACGUCAAAUCAGCACGGCCCUUACGUCCGGGGCGACACACGUGUUACAAUGGCAGGUACAGCGGGAUGCCACGGGGCGACCCGGCGCUGAACCCGAAAACCUGUCUCAGUUCGGAUUGGAGUCUGCAACCCGACUCCAUGAAGCUGGAUUCGCUAGUAAUCGCGCAUCAGCCACGGCGCGGUGAAUACGUUCCCGGGCCUUGUACACACCGCCCGUCAAGCCAUGGAAGCCGGGGGUACCUGAAGUGCGUGACCGCGAGGAGCGCCCUAGGGUAAAACCGGUGACUGGGGCU